GACGAACCGAGCGAACGUUAUUCGGAAUCACUGGGCUUAAAGGGCGCGUAGGCGGGCUGUCAAGUCUGGGGUGAAAUCCCGCGGCUCAACCGCGGAACUGCCUCAGAUACUGACGGCCUCGAGGGAGGUAGGGGCAUGCGGAACUGUAGGUGGAGCGGUGAAAUGCGUUGAUAUCUACAGGAACUCCGGUGGCGAAAGCGGCGUGCUGGACCUCUUCUGACGCUGAGGCGCGAAAGCUAGGGGAGCAAACGGG
rnacentral:rRNA from 1 species